UGGGGAAUUUUGGACAAUGGGGGAAACCCUGAUCCAGCCAUCCCGCGUGUGCGAUGAAGGCCUUCGGGUUGUAAAGCACUUUUGGCAGGAAAGAAACGUCAUGGGUUAAUACCCCGUGAAACUGACGGUACCUGCAGAAUAAGCACCGGCUAACUACGUGCCAGCAGCCGCGGUAAUACGUAGGGUGCAAGCGUUAAUCGGAAUUACUGGGCGUAAAGCGUGCGCAGGCGGUUCGGAAAGAAAGAUGUGAAAUCCCAGAGCUCAACUUUGGAACUGCAUUUUUAACUACCGAGCUAGAGUGUGUCAGAGGGAGGUGGAAUUCCGCGUGUAGCAGUGAAAUGCGUAGUUAUGCGGAGGAACACCGAUGGCGAAGGCAGCCUCCUGGGAUAACACUGACGCUCAUGCACGAAAGCGUGGGGAGCAAACAUG
rnacentral:rRNA from 1 species